GUGCCAGCAGCCGCGGUAACACGUAGGGAGCAAGCGUUGUCCGGAAUCAUUGGGCGUAAAGAGCUCGUAGGCGGCUCAGUAAGUCGGGUGUGAAACCUCCAGGCUCAACCUGGAGACGCCACUCGAUACUGCUGUGGCUAGAGUCCAGUAGGGGAGUGUGGAAUUCCCGGUGUAGCGGUGAAAUGCGCAGAUAUCGGGAGGAACACCAGCGGCGAAGGCGGCACUCUGGGCUGGUACUGACGCUGAGGAGCGAAAGCGUGGGUAGCAAACAGGAUUAGAUACCCUUGUAGUCC
rnacentral:rRNA from 1 species